rnacentral:rRNA from 1 species
UACGGUAGGGUGCAAGCGUUAAUCGGAAUUACUGGGCGUAAAGCGUGCGCAGGCGGCUUUGCAAGACAGAUGUGAAAUCCCCGGGCUUAACCUGGGAACUGCAUUUGUGACUGCAUGGCUGGAGUGUGGCAGAGGGGGAUGGAAUUCCGCGUGUAGCAGUGAAAUGCGUAGAUAUGCGGAGGAACACCGAUGGCGAAGGCAAUCCCCUGGGCCUGCACUGACGCUCAUGCACGAAAGCGUGGGGAGCAAACAGG